AAACGUAGGAGGCGAGCGUUAUCCGGAUUUACUGGGCGUAAAGCGCAUGUAGGCGGACUGAUCAGUGGGAUAUGAAAGCUCCUGGCUUAACUGGGAGAGGUUGUCCCAUACUGUCAGUCUUGAGGACAAGAGAGGAGUGUGGAAUUCCGGGUGUAGUGGUGAAAUGCGUAGAUAUCCGGAGGAACACCAGUGGCGAAGGCGACACUCUGGCUUGUUUCUGACGCUCAGAUGCGAAGGCGUGGGUAGCGAACGGGAUUAGAAACCCCGGUAGUCCACGCAGUAAACGAUGUCAACUAGGUGUUGGAGGUCUAAACCCCUUCGGUACCGAAGCUAACGCGAUAAGUUGACCGCCUGGGGACUACGGCCGCAAGGCUAAAACUCAAAGGAAUUGACGGGGACCCGCACAAGCAGCGGAGCGUGUGGUUUAAUUCGAGGCUACGCGAAGAACCUUACCGGGGUUUGACAUAUGGGUAGUAGGGAGGCGAAAGUUGACCGACCUUCGGAGCCAUACAGGUGAUGCAUGGCUGUCGUC
rnacentral:rRNA from 1 species